UCGUGUAAAAAAAAAUAACAUGUAAUUUCCAAAUUACCACUAAAAAAAUUGUAAAUUUUGAUUUUUACCACUAUUAAAAUGGUAAACUUUGUGUAAAAAAUAAUUUGUGUAAAAAUUUUCAGCGUGUAAUUCAAACAUGUAAUUUUUACCACUAUUCAAGUGGAACAGUGUCACUUAAAAAGUGGUAAAUAUUCAACAACGUGUAAAAUUUGGUGCAUGUACUCAAAAACGUGUAAAAUCGCCAUUACAGUUUGACAGCUGCUGGAAGCAUCCACCUCGGGAACUGGAUCACGGAGAUGGACAACCAGACGAAAUGAAAGACUGCUGAUAGAACGAAUAGAAGCUGGAAUGCAGCAAUUAGGAAGAUGUGCAUGGAGGAAUAUCUGACGAAGGAAGCAAGCAGCCCCCUAAGAUCACCAAAAUUGCAUCCUCAAAAAAGAAAUCCUUCCACAUAAACGAGGCUUUUGAUGCUGGACAUGGAUAACCAAUAAACGAAGAGCGAAAAAUUGUGAAAAGAAUUUUUUUAGGAAAAAUAAAAUUA